GUGAAGGUUUGGUCCUGGCCUCAGUAUUAAUUUUGACUAAAUUUACACAUGCAAGUUUCUGCAUACUAGUGAGAACACCCUAAUCAUACUAUUAUUUGUUUAGGAGUUGGUAUCAGGCAUAUAUAUUGUGUAUGACCCAUGACACCUCGCCUAGCCACACCCCCAAGGGAAUUCAGCAGUGAUAAACAUUGAAUAAUAAGCGUAAGCUUGAACCAGUUAUAGUCAAUAAGGGUUGGUUAAUCUCGUGCCAGCCACCGCGGUUAUACGAGUAACCCAUAUUAAUAUUUUACGGCGUAAAGGGUGAUUAGAAAAUACUAAAAACUACUAAAGUUAUAAUUUUAUAAAGCUGUUAUACGCUCUUAUAAAAAGAAUAAUACAACAACGAAAGUGACUUUAUUUAACAAGAACUUUUGAACUCACGAUAGUUAAGACACAAACUAGGAUUAGAUACCCUACUAUGCUUAACCUUAAAUAGAAUUAUCCUAUUACUUUACCUAAUCCGCCUGAGUACUACAAGCGCUAGCUUAAAACCCAAAGGACUUGGCGGUGCCUCAGACCCCCCUAGAGGAGCCUGUUCUAUAACCGAUAAUCCACGUUAAACCUUACCACUUCUUGCCUUUACCGCCUAUAUACCGCCGUCGUCAGCUCACCCCAUGAGGGUUUAAAAGUAAGCAUAAUGGACUUCUCCAAAACGUCAGGUCGAGGUGUAGCGAAUGAAGUGGAAAGAAAUGGGCUACAUUUUCUUUUAAGAAAAUACGGACAAUAAGAUGAAAAACUAUUUAUAAAGGUGGAUUUAGUAGUAAGAAAAACUUAGGAUAUUUUUCUGAAAAUGGCUCUGAGGCGCGCACACACCGCCCGUCACUCUCCUCAAUUCCAAUCUUUUCCUUUUAUAAAUAGUCUUGUUUACAAGAGGAGGCAAGUCGUAACAUGGUAAGUGUACUGGAAAGUGUACUUAGAAUAAU
rnacentral:rRNA from 1 species